UCCAACAACCAUAGUCUCUCAACAAUUGAUAAUAUCAGUAAGAAACACUGAAGAAACCAAACUACAGUAAAAAAUACCCUUGUCAUCGGGAGUGCAAUGCCAGUUGGGUUCAAGGGUCAGUUUAAAACGGGGUCUAAGUGUUUUUAGUACAAAAUAGUAUAGGGGCGUAUUUGUGAAGAACCCUAGAAACAAAAACAGCACCAAAUUUUGUCAAUAUGUGAGUUUAAUACGCUGGCAACCACAAGAUGUUCCUUCUAAUCUUCUCCAAUGAUUCCAUCAAUAGAAAGUUACAAAAUGUGUCCCUGAUUAUGCUAUUUUGUUUACUUUAAUUAAGUCUACCAUCCAAGAUUUCUUAUAAUAAUUCACAGAAAGAAGCUUUCAUGGUGAGUGGAUCCCAGCUAAUUCAUGGACCAUAUUGAAAGGUUGAUAUGGGGGCAAUGUAUGUGGGCUAAAGUUAUAGACAAAAUUGAUGGGUCCUACUUUUGGAAAUAAUUUUACUCACUACCUUUAGUGAUGCUUAUUACUUUAUUUAUUAUCGUUAGAUAAGUUUAAUUUUGAGAUUUGUGUUUCAAGAU
rnacentral:sRNA from 1 species